rfam:Candidate division Zixibacteria bacterium SM23_73 WORSMTZ_23846, whole genome shotgun sequence.
GCGCCUAUAGCUCAACUGGAUAGAGCAUCUGACUUCGGAUCAGAGGGUUGGGGGUUCGAGUCCCUCUAGGCGCG